CGGAAAUGGGCAGAGAAAUGUAGCUUGGUAUUUUGGGCAAAUCCAAAAAUACGAAAACAGACCCAAUUAGAAAAUUAACGAAAUUCUCUCUCUUCCCCGAUUAUCUAAACGCGCUUCCAAUUUUCUUGUCCAAUUCGGAGGUCGUUUUCUGUGUGAUCAGCGCAUACAAUCGACAAUGAGUGACCACCUGGUGUUGUACGUUGACCGUCUCCUCAGGCCCAUGGCCGCACAGCAGCCGUCGGAGCCUCCUGAGGUCAGUUCUGUGCCGGAGCCGGAGCCGGAGCCGGCUGGACCCGACCCGGUCCCGGACACUGCCGACCCGUCUUCUAGUUCGUCAGCCGAGGGCGCGGAGGAGGAGGAGCCACUGAUUCAGACGGCGGAGUGUCGCAUUUGCCAGGAUGAGGAUAGCAUUAGCAAUUUGGAAUCUCCUUGUGCCUGUUGUGGCAGCCUCAAGUAUGCUCAUAGAAAGUGCGUUCAGCAUUGGUGCAAUGAGAAAGGAGAUAUAACUUGUGAAAUUUGUCAUCAGACUUACCAACCUGGCUAUACUGCACCUCCUCGUCCACCAUCUGAUGAAACUACUAUUGAAAUUGGUGGAGGCUGGACACUUUCUGGCACUCCUUUGAGUUUGGACGAUCCACGUAUCCUGUCAAUUACAGAGGCAGAGCGUCAGUAUCUGGAUACUGAAUAUGAUGAAUAUUCUGCUUCAAGCAGUAGUGGAGCUCCAUUCUUCCGUUCAGCAGCCUUAAUUUUAAUGGCCCUUCUGAUCUUGCGGCAUGCACUGAGAGUCACAGAUUCCGACAAUGGGGAUGACACGUCUGCUAUUUUCUCUCUUUUCUUGCUUCGAGCGGCUGGAUUUCUUUUGCCUGCUAUAUUAUGGCUUGGGCCAUCAGUAUCUUGCAGCGUCGACAGCAAAGACAGGAGGCUGCAGCAUUGGCAGCAACACAAGUUGCUUUUGUUCUUCAAUCUGGACAACAUAUGGGUCUACAAUUUGCAGUAGGAUCAGGACCUAAUGGGAGUCCACAACCAGAAACUGCCUAACAUGAAGCCAACAAAACGCCAGAGAGUUUUACGUGAUAUGGUGAAGCCAUUCAGCGGAAAGUGGUGAAAAAUAAAUGAAAACGUUUCUUUUGUCCGAAAAUAUGAAGGAACAAAAAAUUGCAAAACAUAAGAGAACAGAAAAGGCUACAGCAGUGUGGAAUUGUGUCUAAUGGCUUGUUGAAAAGGCCAUGGCAGUCUUGGUUACCUCCAUCUUUGGUUGUCUUGUAUUUCAUGUAUGUUUGUAAAUUAAUUCCAUUCAACCAGAGAAAAAAGGAAAUAUUGAUUUUUGGUUCUCCAUCUUCUUGGGUAGUUCAAAGCAGCUGGUUGUUAUCUGGAAGGGGCAUGUCUGUAUUAUUCAACUUGAAUAUCUCCUUAGCUGAGUUCUUUUUCUUUUGGAUUUAUCACAAAACGUCCUUGAGGUUCAUGAAA